rnacentral:rRNA from 1 species
AUACGUAGGGGGCGAGCGUUGUCCGGAUUUAUUGGGCGUAAAGGGUGCGUAGGCGGCCUUGUAAGUCAGAUGUGAAAUCUCACGGCUUAACCGUGGUAAGCAUUUGAAACUGUGAGGAUUGAGUACAGGAGAGGAGAGUGGAAUUCCUAGUGUAGCGGGGAAAUGCGUAGAUAUUAGGUGGAAUACCAGUGGCGAAGGCGGGUCUCGGGACGGUAACUGCCGCUGAGGCACGAAAGCGUGGGGAGCAAACAGAAUUAGAUACCCUGUUGGUCCACGCCGUAAACGAUGAGUGCUAGGCGUCGGGGGUCAAACCUUUGAGCGGCAGAGAACACAUUAUGCACGCCGCCUGUGGGGUUCGGUGUCGACACGUUAACACUAAAAUGUUGUCGGGG